rnacentral:rRNA from 1 species
ACGCCUAACACAUGCAAGUCGAACGGAGUAGCAAUACUUAGUGGCAGACGGGUGAGUAACAUGUAGGUAUCUGCCCUUUGGCCUGGAAUAACACGAGGAAACUUGUGCUAAUACCAGAUAAGUCUUUACGGAGAAAGCUUUAUGCACCAUUGGAUGAGCCUGCACUUGAUUAGUUUGUUGGUGGGGUAAUGGCCUACCAAGACUUUGAUCAAUAGCUGAUUUGAGAGGAUGAUCAGCCACAUUGGGACUGAGACACGGCCCAAACUCCUACGGGAGGCAGCAGUGGGGAAUCUUGCACAAUGGAGGAAACUCUGAUGCAGCGAUGCCGCGUGAGUGAAGAAGGCCCUUGGGUUGUAAAGCUCUUUCGUCGGGGAAGAAAAUGACUGUACCCGAAUAAGAAGGUCCGGCUAACUUCGUGCCAGCAGCCGCGGUAAUACGAAGGGACCUAGCGUAGUUCGGAAUUACUGGGCUUAAAGAGUUCGUAGGUGGUUGAAAAAGUUGGUGGUGAAAUCCCAGAGCUUAACUCUGGAACUGCCAUCAAAACUUUUCAGCUAGAGUUUGAUAGAGGAAAGCAGAAUUUCUAGUGUAGAGGUGAAAUUCGUAGAUAUUAGAAAGAAUACCAAUUGCGAAGGCAGCUUUCUGGAUCAUUACUGACACUGAGGAACGAAAGCAUGGGUAGCGAAGAGGAUUAGAUACCCUCGUAGUCCAUGCCGUAAACGAUGUGUGUUAGACGUUGGAAAUUUAUUUUCAGUGUCGCAGCGAAAGCAAUAAACACACCGCCUGGGGAGUACGACCGCA